UGGGGAAUAUUGGACAAUGGGCGAAAGCCUAAUCCAGCCAUGCCGCGUGUGUGAAGAAGGCCUUUUGGUUGUAAAGCACUUUAAGCGAGGAGGAGGCUACUUGGAUUAAUACUCUAGGAUAGUGGACGUUACUCGCAGAAUAAGCACCGGCUAACUCUGUGCCAGCAGCCGCGGUAAUACAGAGGGUGCGAGCGUUAAUCAGAUUUACUGGGCGUAAAGCGUGCGUAGGCGGCUUCUUAAGUCGGAUGUGAAAUCCCUGAGCUUAACUUAGGAAUUGCAUUCGAUACUGGGAAGCUAGAGUAUGGGAGAGGAUGGUAGAAUUCCAGGUGUAGCGGUGAAAUGCGUAGAGAUCUGGAGGAAUACCGAUGGCGAAGGCAGCCAUCUGGCCUAAUACUGACGCUGAGGUACGAAAGCAUGGGGAGCAAACAGG
rnacentral:rRNA from 1 species